UCUCAGCCAUGGUUGCAUACCUUCCAAGCUCCACCGCCUCUUCUUCCUCGUGGGCAGAUCCCUGAUUUUGUGUAGGACAGCACUUGAAAUGUAUUUGUGUGCUCAACAUUGGUUUCCUCUCUGGAACCUGGGAUCACUUCAGGGGUGGACACGUGGCCCAACCAUGACUGAUGAGACAUGCGGGGAAAUCUGCAGAGGCAACUUCUAGGAAAGGUUGGGCUCUUGCAGCCACCCUGUGACUAUGAGGUGAGAAGCUUGUCCAGUGUGAUAGCUGAUCCACUGAAGAUGACAAGGAAAACAGCAGAAAGGAACCAGGCUACUUGAUCAUAGUGAGAGCUGAUAAGGCAGCCAAUCUGAAUUUCUUUCUACGUAAAACAAUUAACAUUAGUGUUUCAUUGCAUUUUCUAUUGCUUGCAGCCAAAAAUACUCUAACCACUGUCCUUGGGCAAAUUACUGACCUCUUUAAGCCUUGAUUUUCUCAUCUCUGAGAGAUGAACACAAGAGUUUGUAUUUCAUUGAAUGAGAUAAGGUAAUGAUAAGAAUAAGAAAUAUUUAUGCUGCACUUACUAUGUGCUCAACUCUGUUCAAAACAGUUUACUCAUUUAACAUACGUAUCAUGCUUAGCCUAGGAUCCUGAACCUUUUAUGUUCUCAAACUUACCCUUAUAAUCAUUGCUAUUGCAGGAACUAGGCUAUUAAUUCAGACCUUCUGUUCCUAGACAUUUUACCAACAGUGAAAGUAAACUUUCACUCCUCCCACCACCCCACAAGGAAAAUUACAGGAGCAUUUGAAAACAUUUUUGAAACUCAAAUGCUCUCACAAUUGAAUGACACAGGAAUCAAUACUUAGAAAACUCUGCCUUUUCAGUGUUCAGAGUAUAAUGCAUAUUUUUAAAAAUAGACUCAAUACAAGUUCUUGCAAAUCUAUUUGGAAGCGAAAAGAGCUCAUUAUAACAAUGGUUCUGGAUGGAUUACAAACUUCUCAGUUUAGAAAUGGGUUUUUGUUUUGUUAGUACACCAUGCUCUCUACUAUUAUUUACUGCAUAGUUUGAGUCACUCACUAGUCAAUUUCUCAACGCUUUGUCAAGGACUAUGAAGGGCUGAAGAUUUACUCUACUUGAGAACGAACCAGGUAACCUCCCACAAUUUCACAGAUGCUAGCAGAAGACAGGGCACUCCUCGGUUAGACACCUAGGGCUUCAUUACUUAGGGCCCAGCAGUCAGUGUGGGCACCAGUUCCCCUUACCCCUCUUCCCAUUCCCACAGCUCAUGGUAUGUGGGUGGGUCCACGUGGACACUGCACAGAAUUGAGGAACCUUGCAUUUAAGAAGACUUAAUCUUACAAGGGGCUGAUAGCAAACUUUCCCAAACCUUGUCCCAGAGAAAGAUAUUGUCUUUAUCAUCCUGAUCUGAAUACUAAUCUUCCCUCUGUAGAAGGAGACAGUAUCUCUGUUUCCUAAGGCUCUUGCUGGACAAACAUCUUUGAAAGGACAGUUCAGAGGAGAUGCUGUCAGAGUCUUAGCUCACAAGAUGUGCAGAAAUGGAAAGGCCAUGGAGAAUUGUCUCCCAACACUGGGAAACCACUCAGUCUCACUCACCUCUACCAUGCUUUUUCAGUGUACCCUAUUUUUUUUCUCAGCAAAGCUGCUUGCUAUAUUUGCAUUUGGCUCUGAGCUGACCCCAACCUCAAGUGUUACCUCUUGGUCAUCCACCACUUUCUGAAUAAAUUAUAUUCAGUGGUCCAAGUUCAGAUGACGAGGGAAGGGAAUCUGAUGGAUCCAGCUUGGGUCCAGUAUCCAGGCCUGGUUCAAUUAGUGUCAUCAGGGGUCAGUGCCAUUUAACACACUUUGCCCACCCUCUGUGGAUGGGCAGGAGUGGGUAGAGUCCUGUAGGGUAAGGACAGGGAGACAGCCUUGGUAAAAGUUCAUUUAACAAGGAUGGAUUGCAUAACUGGUUUCAUCAUUGUUAGUAGCAGUAGUCUCUCUAUAAAUCUUAUAAAUCACUUAUAUUGAAAAAAGUCAUCAAGCAUGACUCAAAUAACUUCAGCAGAAAACAGUCACCCUAAUAAAGUCAUUUAAUUAUAUAUGUCUAUAUAUUCUGAAUAUUCAGCGAAGUGGAUUAUGCCACCGGCUGAGUGUAUCCAGAGUGAUGCUUGACAGCUCCUUUUAUUGCUAAUGGCUCACAGAGUUUAUGCCCUUUAGGAAGUGCCAGAAUCAUUAGUACUGUCACUGAAAUGUGCUGUUAAUGUAAAUUCUACUCAGAAAAAUGGAACAGCAAUUGCAAAACCAGCAGCUGGAGAAUGGGCAGCCCAGUGAGGAAAGAUCAAUGGGAGAAAGGCUUGUAACUUUCUCCCAUUUUCUAGAAAUUUGUGACUUUCUAGAAAACGAAGCCAGUCUCAACAGUGCCUCCAAGGACCUGAAGCUUCUCCAAGUGCUGUUUUGAAUGGGAAGGCAGGAGUCGGAACUGGCCAUCCAGGACUGUCUACAUGGCCUCUCUCUCUUCUCAUCUUCCUCUAAGAAAUUUCUCCAGUUUUUCAAUCUUGACCUCUCAGAAAAAAGAGAUUCUGAUCUUGUGAACUGAUGCUGCAUGUUGAAUGAGUUUUCAUCCUGCAUGAUACUUCAUGGAUUUAUUUGCAUUUUAAUUAUUCUUUUAUACAAAAGAGCCAUAGAAAAGAAAAGUCUGACCCAAGUUUUGUCAAGAUAAAGCAGAGUAUGGGAAGUGGGCAACUGUGAGAACUUGGUUAGAGCCAGUCUGUAUAGUUUAGUAUUUAAUGGGGAAGUUUGGGGUGUGGGAAAUGGGACCUAUUUCCUUUGCUCUUGAGGUUAGGUUGAGCCAUCUGGCUCCCUGCCCUGCAGUUCCCAUAACUGAAGAGUUAUACAUCCCAUAACCCCUGCCCACUAGUGAACCCCUUCCUCAGCUCUGGGACUGAUUGUCUUCAAGCUGAGCACACACUGAGCACUGGGCCUGCCUUCUUCCUAACACAGGUUUUUGUAAGCUCCAGACAUUGGAUAAAGCAUUUUGAGGGAUAGGUGAAAACGAAAUCCUGCCCUUUACUCUUGAGAACUCACUCUGCUGUGGGAGGAGAGACAGGCAGCAUUCUGACCACAAUGCCAGAAGACAAUACGGAAUUACUCAGUACAUGAAGCACCAGGAAGAUGACAACAGAAGAGAGAGGACCCAGACAUUGGAAUCAGCAGAGUUGGGGUUUCGCCAUGUUGACCAGGCUGGUUU
rnacentral:lncRNA from 1 species